GACAGAGGAUGCAAGCGUUAUCCGGAAUGAUUGGGCGUAAAGCGUCUGUAGGUGGCUUUUAAGUCUGCCGUCAAAUCCCAGGGCUUAACCCUGGACAGGCGGUGGAAACUACCAAGCUGGAGUACGGUAGGGGCAGGGGGAAUUUCCGGUGGAGCGGUGAAAUGCGUAGAGAUCGGAAAGAACACCAACGGCGAAAGCACUCUGCUGGGCCGACACUGACACUGAGAGACGAAAGCUAGGGGAGCGAAUGGG
rnacentral:rRNA from 1 species